rnacentral:rRNA from 1 species
UAGCGUAGGGGGCAAGCGUUGUCCGGAAUUAUUGGGCGGUAAAGAGCGCGUAGGCGGUCCGAUAAGUCGGGCUGUGAAAGUCCAGGGCUCAACCCUGGAAAGCCGGCCGAUACUGUCGGACUAGAGUCCGGAAGAGGAGAGUGGAAUUCCUGGUGUAGCGGUGAAAUGCGUAGAUAUCGGGAGGAACACCAGUGGCGAAGGCGAGUCUCUGGGAUGAUGC